rnacentral:rRNA from 1 species
CCUACGGGUGGCAGCAGUGAGGAAUAUUGGUCAAUGGGCGGGAGCCUGAACCAGCCAAGUCGCGUGAAGGAAGAAGGUACUUCGUAUUGUAAAAUUCUUUUGUCGGGGAACAAAGGCGGAGACGCGUCCCCGGAUGAGUGUACCAGAAGACAAAGCAUCGGCUAACUCCGUGCCAGCAGCCGCGGUAAUACGGAGGAUGCGAGCGUUAUCCGGAUGUAUUGGGUUUAAAGGGUGCGCAGGCGGGCGAUAAAGUCAGCGGUAAAAUGUCGGGGCUAAACCCCGGCCGGCCGUUGAAACUGGUUGUCUAGAGUUGGAGAGAAGUAUGCGGAAUUCGUGGUGUAGCGGUGAAAUGCUUAGAGAUCACGAAGAACUCCGAUUGCGAAGGCAGCAUACCGGCUCCAAACUGACGCUGAGGCACGAAAGCGUGGGGAUCGAACAGGAUUAGAUACCCUGGUAGUC